rnacentral:lncRNA from 1 species
AUGUGGGAUGGGCUCCCAAAGUCCCUUCAUACACCAGGGGUAAAUACUGAUCCACUACCAGAGCCCUCAUCCAGUGGCUGAUGGAAGCAGAGGCAGACACCCACAGCUAAACACUGAACUGAACUCUGGAACCCAGUUGCAGAGAGGGAGGAGUGAAGAACAAAGGGUGGACUUGAAUUGAUUCCCAGUUCCCAUGUUGGACAUAACUGCCUGUAAGGCUGGAGAAAUGGAUCAGAGGUUAAGAGCACUGGCUGUUCUUCCAGGGGUCCUGAGUUCUGUUCCCAGCACCCACAUGGUAGCUCACAGCCAUUGAUAAUGAGAUCUUGUGCCCUCUUCUGGCUAACAG